AUUGAACGCUGGCGGCAUGCCUUACACAUGCAAGUCGAACGGCAGCACGGGAGCAAUCCUGGUGGCGGGUGGCGAACGGGUGAGUAAAGUAUCGGAACGUGCCCAGUCGUGGGGGAUAACGUAGCGAAAGUUACGCUAAUACCGCAUACGAUCUAUGGAUGAAAGCGGGGGAUCGCAAGACCUCGCGCGAUUGGAGCGGCCGAUAUCAGAUUAGGUAGUUGGUGGGGUAAAGGCUCACCAAGCCGACGAUCUGUAGCUGGUCUGAGAGGACGACCAGCCACACUGGGAAUGAGACACGGCCCAGACUCCUACGGGAGGCAGCAGUGGGGAAUUUUGGACAAUGGGCGAAAGCCUGAUCCAGCCAUGCCGCGUGCAGGAUGAAGGCCUUCGGGUUGUAAACUGCUUUUGUACGGAACGAAAAGGUUUGGCCUAAUAAGCUGAGCUCAUGACGGUACCGUAAGAAUAAGCACCGGCUAACUACGUGCCAGCCGCCGCAGUAA
rnacentral:rRNA from 1 species